rnacentral:rRNA from 1 species
GAUGAACGCUGGCGGCGUGCCUAACACAUGCAAGUCGAGCGAUGAAACCGCCUCCGGGCGGACAUGAAGCGGCGAACGGGUGAGUAACACGUGACCGACCUGCCCCCCGCCCAGGGACAGCCCCCCGAAAGGGGGAUUAAUACCUGGUACUCCGGAAGCGGCGCAUGCCGCGUCCGGGAAAGCUUUCGCGGCGGGGGAUGGGGUCGCGGCCCAUCAGGUAGUCGGCGGGGCAGAGGCCCACCGUGCCGACGACGGGUAGCCGGGUUGAGAGACCGCCCGGCCACAUUGGGACUGAGAUACGGCCCAGACUCCUACGGGAGGCAGCAGUGGGGAAUUUUGCGCAAUGGGGGCAACCCUGACGCAGCAACGCCGCGUGCGGGACGAAGGCGUCCGCGUCGUAAACCGCUUUCAGCGGGGAACACUUCAACGAGGGUACCCGCAGAAGAAGCCCCGGCUAAAUACGUGCCAGCAGCCGCAGUAA